rnacentral:rRNA from 1 species
AUGGCCCGUUACUGGUGGAGUAGUUCCCUUGAUCGUCGGUCUUUACAUUGGACGGAUUGGGACACGCUUACUUCUCCGAAAGUGAAAGGAGGGAUGGGUUUCAGAGAUCUUCAACUAUUUAAUCUUGCCCUCCUGGGAAAACAUGGCUAGAGACUCGUCACGAGCCCAGAGUCGCUCUGUGCACGGGUGCUCAAAGGGAAGUAUUUCCCGACGACAAAUUUCCUCAAAGCUACUUCGCCAUCCCACGCGUCUUCCACCUGGCGUGCAAUCUUGGCGGGGAGGGAAGCUUUGGAGGUUGGGAUGAUUAAGCGGAUUGGGGAUGGGACGACGGUGUCAAUAUGGAAUGAUCCUUGGAUCCCAGGUCUUAUUUCCAUGAAGCCAUCGGUGCAGAUUGGGGCCGCCGAUCUUGUCAGGGUCUCAGAUCUGAUCGAUGCUGAUUCGGGGUCAUGGAAACCUAAUGAGGUACAUGCAAAUUUCAUUCCGUCUGAAGUAGAAGCUAUUCUCAAUAUACCUUUGAGGCGGUUUGGAGGAGAUGAUAUAUGGGCAUGGUCGGCAGAAAAAGCAGGAGUCUAUACUGUCAAGUCAGCGUACCGCACUCUUAUGAUUUGCAACGAGCAUCGUGCUCUAGAAGAAGGGUCGGUCACCGAAAUCUUCCGAGACAAAUAA